CUGCGCUCCUGCUUCACCGAGAUCACUGCCGGGGCCCCUGGAGGUGGCGGUCCCCAGGACACUCCGGGAGCCGGCCGGGUCUCGCUGGGUCGCUCCGCCCGGAAGCUCCCCAGACCCCUGCGCGCGGCAGCCCUGGCCCCCGUCACCCCCGCGCGCAAGGCGGCGAACUCCGAGUGGUCAUGUCCUCCCCACCGAGGUGAUUUCGAUCCAACGGCGAUCGGAGUCCCCGAGGACGGUGCAGGCGCCUCCCGCCUCCGUGGGGAGCGCGCAGGAGAAAGCCUGGGGUGGAAGCAAGAGGGGAAAGGUGGCGGUGUUGAGUCACUUCAUCCUGGCCCAGGUACAGCAGCUCCAAAUCGUGGGGAUUCUGUAAGAGCUUGCUACCUGCUGACUGAGGAGGCCCACGAGUCGAGGAGAACUAUCAAGAGUGGCACAAAACUGCAGGUCACUGGGCUGGCCACCAGGUAUUCCCACCCACCAGAAGCUGGCUGUUGUACUCACCCGGAACCAUGGUGCACCACCACAGCGGCGAGGUCAUACAGGCAGCUCU
rnacentral:antisense_RNA from 1 species